rnacentral:rRNA from 2 species
GACGAACGCUGGCGGCGUGCCUAAUACAUGCAAGUCGAACGAACUCUGGUAUUGAUUGGUGCUUGCAUCAUGAUUUACAUUUGAGUGAGUGGCGAACUGGUGAGUAACACGUGGGAAACCUGCCCAGAAGCGGGGGAUAACACCUGGAAACAGAUGCUAAUACCGCAUAACAACUUGGACCGCAUGGUCCGAGUUUGAAAGAUGGCUUCGGCUAUCACUUUUGGAUGGUCCCGCGGCGUAUUAGCUAGAUGGUGAGGUAACGGCUCACCAUGGCAAUGAUACGUAGCCGACCUGAGAGGGUAAUCGGCCACAUUGGGACUGAGACACGGCCCAAACUCCUACGGGAGGCAGCAGUAGGGAAUCUUCCACAAUGGACGAAAGUCUGAUGGAGCAACGCCGCGUGAGUGAAGAAGGGUUUCGGCUCGUAAAACUCUGUUGUUAAAGAAGAACAUAUCUGAGAAUAACUGUUCAGGUAUUGACGGUAUUUAACCAGAAAGCCACGGCUAACUACGUGCCAGCAGCCGCGGUAAUACGUAGGUGGCAAGCGUUGUCCGGAUUUAUUGGGCGUAAAGCGAGCGCAGGCGGUUUUUUAAGUCUGAUGUGAAAGCCUUCGGCUCAACCGAAGAAGUGCAUCGGAAACUGGGAAACUUGAGUGCAGAAGAGGACAGUGGAACUCCAUGUGUAGCGGUGAAAUGCGUAGAUAUAUGGAAGAACACCAGUGGCGAAGGCGGCUGUCUGGUCUGUAACUGACGCUGAGGCUCGAAAGUAUGGGUAGCAAACAGGAUUAGAUACCCUGGUAGUCCAUACCGUAAACGAUGAAUGCUAAGUGUUGGAGGGUUUCCGCCCUUCAGUGCUGCAGCUAACGCAUUAAGCAUUCCGCCUGGGGAGUACGGCCGCAAGGCUGAAACUCAAAGGAAUUGACGGGGGCCCGCACAAGCGGUGGAGCAUGUGGUUUAAUUCGAAGCUACGCGAAGAACCUUACCAGGUCUUGACAUACUAUGCAAAUCUAAGAGAUUAGACGUUCCCUUCGGGGACAUGGAUACAGGUGGUGCAUGGUUGUCGUCAGCUCGUGUCGUGAGAUGUUGGGUUAAGUCCCGCAACGAGCGCAACCCUUAUUAUCAGUUGCCAGCAUUAAGUUGGGCACUCUGGUGAGACUGCCGGUGACAAACCGGAGGAAGGUGGGGAUGACGUCAAAUCAUCAUGCCCCUUAUGACCUGGGCUACACACGUGCUACAAUGGAUGGUACAACGAGUUGCGAACUCGCGAGAGUAAGCUAAUCUCUUAAAGCCAUUCUCAGUUCGGAUUGUAGGCUGCAACUCGCCUACAUGAAGUCGGAAUCGCUAGUAAUCGCGGAUCAGCAUGCCGCGGUGAAUACGUUCCCGGGCCUUGUACACACCGCCCGUCACACCAUGAGAGUUUGUAACACCCAAAGUCGGUGGGGUAACCUUUUAGGAACCAGCCGCCUAAGGUGGGACAGAUGAUUAGGGUGAAG